UUCUUUAAGAAAUAAUUUAAAGUAAAACCUGCUCAAUGUUAAAAAUAAAUAGCCGCAGAAUAACUGUGCUAAGGUAGCAUAAUAAUUUGCUUCUUAAUUAGAAGAUAGAAUGAAAGGUAAUACAUUUAAAAUUUGUAUCUUUUAACAAUUAACUAAAUUAAGAAUAAAGUAAAAACUCUUUUAAAUAUCGUGGGACGACAAGACCCUAAUAAACUUAUUAAUUAGUUGGGGAAACAUUUUAAUAAAAAUUUAAAAACAUUAAUUACACAUCUUUAAUAUAAAAUAUAGACUAGUUACUAUAGGGAUAACAGCGCUAUUUCUUUUAAGAGCCCUUAUCUAAAAAGAAGAUUACGACCUCGAUGUUGAAUUAGUUAUCCUAUAUUAAGCGAAAAAGCUGUGAAAGGUAGUCUGUUCGACUAUUAAAAAACU
rnacentral:rRNA from 1 species